CCUACGGGGGGCUGCAGUAGGGAAUAUUGCUCAAUGGGGGAAACCCUGAAGCAGCAACGCCGCGUGGAGGAUGAAGGUUUUCGGAUUGUAAACUCCUUUUGUUAGAGAAGAUAAUGACGGUAUCUAACGAAUAAGCACCGGCUAACUCCGUGCCAGCAGCCGCGGUAAUACGGAGGGUGCAAGCGUUACUCGGAAUCACUGGGCGUAAAGAGCGCGUAGGCGGGAUAGCAAGUCAGAUGUGAAAUCCUAUGGCUUAACCAUAGAACUGCAUUUGAAACUGUUAUUCUAGAGUAUGGGAGAGGUAGGUGGAAUUCUUGGUGUAGGGGUAAAAUCCGUAGAGAUCAAGAGGAAUACUCAUUGCGAAGGCGACCUGCUGGAACAUUACUGACGCUGAUGCACGAAAGCGUGGGGAGCAAACAGGAUUAGAUACCCCAGUAGUC
rnacentral:rRNA from 1 species